rnacentral:rRNA from 1 species
CCCAGACUCCUACGGGAGGCAGCAGUGGGGAAUAUUGCGCAAUGGGCGAAAGCCUGACGCAGCGACGCCGCGUGAGGGAUGGAGGUCUUCGGAUCGUAAACCUCUGUCAGCAGGGAAGAACGGUCACUGUGCUAAUCAGCAGUGAAUUGACGGUACCUGAUGAAUAAGCUCCGGCUAACUACGUGCCAGCAGCCGCGGUAAUACGUAGGGAGCAAGCGUUAUCCGGAUUUACUGGGUGUAAAGGGCGCGUAGGCGGGAUGGCAAGUCAGAUGUGAAAUCCAGGGGCUCAACCCCUGAACUGCAUUUGAAACUGUCGUUCUUGAGUACUGGAGAGGUUGGCGGAAUUCCUAGUGUAGCGGUGAAAUGCGUAGAUAUUAGGAGGAACACCAGUGGCGAAGGCGGUCAACUGGACAGCAACUGACGCUGAGGCGCGAAAGCGUGGGGAGCAAACAGGAUUAGAUACCCGCGUA